GUCCUGCUUGCAUUCAUCACCAUGUACUCCAUCGGCAGAGGCCAAGAAGCGAGCCGACGAGAUGUCCACGUACGGAAACAAGUUCAUGGCUAUCAUGUAUCGUCUUGUCGACCAUACUCUCGCCAAAUAAAAUGAAGACCUAUGAUUAUUGCACUCCAUGCUGGUGGUACGGCAUGCAUGCAUGAACAUCAGCUAGGGUUUCAUUUUAUUUUGUGAGGGCACGGUCGACGAGCACCGGUCAUGAAUCUCUCACACUUGUUUCCCUUUGAUAUCUGGUCGGCUUUCUUCUUGAACUCUCGGUGGAGGUGGUCUAUGUUGUGAAGUGUACAAGUAUAUUGCCUAGUCCUUUCCAUCAGUUCGGACUUUUGGUUCAAGUGGCUAGUGCAUGAAGCUUAACAGUCUACUCUACAUGCAUAUUCGGCUUUGGUGUCAUCUAGGUAUACUUGUGUCGUGCGUGGAGCAAGUCGGAGGCGUUGCACAUCGAUCUCAUGUUGCAGGUAGCCCAUGUCUGCAUUGGAGGAGAGGUCAUCCCCGUCGUUCAUGGACGCUCGCGGUGCUAGACAAAUCAUUAAGGAGGAGCAUGAUGCCGAAGACCUCCAGCGAGGCCAGCAGCUUGCGCAUGUCAGCGUGGUAGCUCUUGUCGAAGCACGAGAGGACGGAGACGCAAGUCUCGGGGGUAAAGUGUGACAAAGGACUUGUGCUGCUUCUAUGACUACAACGUCGCAAAUAAUAAGAAGGCUAGCCCAUGAGCUCGGAGGGCUCCGUUGUUCGGUUGUAUAGAAAUGAUUUUCUAUGUCAUCAACAAGUUGGUAAAAAAACUGCGAUCUAUUGAAAUGAGACUGACAUGGUAGAGGAGGAACAUUGGGGCUAUAUAUUAAGAAGAGGACAACUUGGGCACACAUCUGCUGAGACGAGGGCUCGAACGCGGGUGGUCGGCGCCUAGUUUUCCUUGAGUUCUAUUCGCAGUUGUUAGAACUAUUUAUGUAUCGUAUAUCUGGGAAAUUCUUUUUAGGUUAUGUACAAUUCGGUGAUGUCAGCCUUUCCUUAUAGCUAUUAUAUAGGAUUUUUGUUGAGUUGGAGGAGAGAGAAUAGGAAAAGAGAAGGCUGCCUUCUCUUAGCUAAGGGAUGAUCCCUUAAAAAAUAAGAGAAGACCAUUUUCACCAUUGUAUCACAUGUCUUCCCUUCGCAACAUGAUAUUUUUACCAAAA